UACGUAGGGGGCAAGCGUUGUUCGGAUUCAUUGGGCGUAAAGGGUGCGUAGGCGGCGCGGUAAGUCGGGUGUGAAAGUCCAGGGCUCAACCCUGGGAUGCCGGUGGAUACUGUCGGGCUCGAGUCCGGAAGAGGAGUGUGGAAUUCCUGGUGUAGCGGUGAAAUUCGCAGAUAUCAGGAGGAACACCAAUGGCGAAGGCAGCACUCUGGGACGUGACUGACGUUGAGACGCGAAAGCGUGGGGAGCAAACAGG
rnacentral:rRNA from 1 species